GCGGCCGUAGCUCAGUUGGUAGAGCGUCAGCUUCCCAAGCUGAAUGUCGUGAGUUCGAGUCUCAUCGGCCGCUCCA
rnacentral:tRNA from 1 species